AAAGGAACUCUUCCUCAGGAGUUCCACCUAUCUCCUUAGGGAUGUCUGGAAGCAGAACAAAGGCUCUUAGAGCCAAAAAAGGCACAGAAGAAGAUUUUACUUUCUGUCUUGCUGAGGGACAUUGUCACUUGCUGAACUUUGCCAUGGAGUGAAGCUUUCAACUUCAAGCAUCUGUGAAUUUAUUGAACAAUAGAACUUUCAUAGUUGCUGUGGCUGAAAAAAUGUAUUUCCCUAUGGUCAAUCUGGAUUCUUCAAGGAUCACUGACAAGAAUUCAGAGAUUACAUUGUCCAUUUCUUUUGGGACCUUGGGAUGUGGUUUAUCUGGGCCUGGUGAAAUGAACUUAUUAAGCAUACCCAAGUGAUCGUAGAAUUUGGAACAGCUCCCCUAAACUGAAGAGAUGGUGAAGCAGACUUAGAGACCUGAUGUCACAGAAAUAAGGAACUUCAAAAUUGCAAGAGACCUCAGUGGCCCUCUGUAAAUUAAGUCUUAUCUGAAAAAGAAUCCUCUCUACAACAUAUCUAGCUUUUGUUUAAAUAUCUCCAAAAA